AGCAACAUCUUGGCCAAGCAAUAUCAGAUGCCCUGCACCAUGGCCUAAUAAGCUCUCGAGACGAGCUCUUUAUCACAUCCAAGCUUUGGUUGAGCGACGCUCAUCAUGACCAUGUCCUCCCUGCCCUACAAAAAACUCUCAAGUAAUACCUACUGAACAAUGUUUGUUUUCUCUUUUUUUGUUUCUUUUUUUUUCAAAUAAUUUGUCCAUAAUCAUGUGAUUACAUUUUUGCUUGUUCUCCUCGCCCUUAUAACAAUCAGUAAUGCAAUUCGAAUUUGAAACAUCUUGUUAGAAAUUACUAUGAACUUUAGAUGAGUGAUAUUAUAAUAAGUUCUACAGGUUACAAUUUCGAGCCCACUCCGAUGUUCUUUCAAUGGUUUUAUUAUUUUGCAAAUAUGAACGGAGGUCAUGUUUCAUUAUAACUGUACGCACUGCUGGUGGUGCAUGUUCUGCAGGAAUCUUAAACUAGAGUACUUGGACUUGUACCUGAUUCACUGGCCUGUGAGCUUGAAGCCAGGUGAACCUGAGCUUCCGGUUAAGAGAGAGGAUCUUCUUCCGAUGGAUUUCAAGUCGGUGUGGGAAGCUAUGGAACAGUGUCAAAAACUUGGCCUGACAAAAUCCAUUGGAGUGAGCAACUUUUCAAUCAAGAAGCUUGAGAUCCUGCUAGCUACAGCAAAGAUAAUUCCUGCCGUUAAUCAAGUUAGUUAUAAUUAUUCUAUUUUUUUUUUUUGUUAGAUUUAUAUUGUUUAAGAAAAAUAAAAUAAAUUAUGAUAUUGGAGUUUGAUGGUGAAGGUGGAGAUGAACCCACUCUGGCAACAAAAGAAGCUGAGAACAUUCUGUCAGCAGAAGGGCAUACAUGUAAGUGCUUACUCUCCUUUGGGUGGCAAAGGAACGCUCUGGGGCACAAACCUUGUCAUGGAUUGUAAGGUCCUCAAAGAAAUUGCAGAUACGACAGGAAAAACUAUUGCCCAGGUACCAACCAACUCUUUUCUAUUUUCUUUUUCCUGUUUAUGCUUAAAAGGUGAAGCAAGCCAAGUCAUGUACAUAAAAAUCAAACUCGAAACAGUAGAAACAUGAACAGAGUCAGACACAAAGCUCAUUUUCAAGAUUCUAUAGGUCAAUUGUCUGAUGUUAUGUAUGUAUGUUAAGGUG
rnacentral:lncRNA from 1 species